UUUUUAAAAAGUUUAAGCGGCGGACGGGUGAGUAACACGUGGGCAACCUGCCCUGUAGACUGGGAUAACCUCGGGAAACCGAAGCUAAUACCGGAUAAUCAAUUGAAGCACCUACUUCUAUUGUAAAAGUUGGGAUACUAACACUACAGGAUGGGCCCGUGGCGCAUUAGCUAGUUGGUAAGGUAAUGGCUUACCAAGGCGACGAUGCGUAGCCGACCUGAGAGGGUGACCGGCCACACUGGGACCGAGACACGGCCCAGACUCCUACGGGAGGCAGCAGUAGGGAAUCUUCCGCAAUGGACGAAAGUCUGACGGAGCAACGCCGCGUGAACGAUGAAGGCCUUCGGGUCGUAAAGUUCUGUUGUUAGGGAAGAACAAGUACCGUUCGAAUAGGGCGGUACCUUGACGGUACCUAACCAGAAAGCCACGGCUAACUACGUG
rnacentral:rRNA from 1 species